rfam:Cryptococcus amylolentus CBS 6039 supercont1.5, whole genome shotgun sequence.
UCUUCGAUAGUACAGGGGUUAGUAUAUCCGCUUUUCAAGGGUAUAACUGGUUUCAACCCCGGUUCUUGGUUUUCGCGGACGACCCGGGUUCGAAUCCCGGUCGGAGAA